CGGCGAGUGAACAGGGAAGAGCCCAGCACCGAAGCCUGUGACCAAUUGGUUUCUAGGCAAUGUGGUGUUUAGGUCGUUCUUCAGAGACACUGUCCCACCCUAAGUCCAGUAUUGAGUACGGCGUUGACCUGUCCCAGAGAGGGUGAAAGGCCCGUAAGGGUGGGAUGCAGACUGGCCAGUGUUUCUCUAGAUAGACCUUGGAGUCGGGUUGUUUGUGAAUGCAGCCCAAAGCGGGUGGUAAACUCCAUCCAAGGCUAAAUACUUGCACGAGUCCGAUAGCGAACAAGUACCGUGAGGGAAAGUUGAAAAGUACUUUGAAGAGAGAGUAAACAGUGCGUGAAACCGCUCAAAGGUAAACGGGUAGAGUUGAACUGCAAGCUCUGAGAAAUCAGCUAGCGAGUAUGGCAAGAGAUUUGGUCUUGUGGGUUGGCCUCUGGAGCCCUCGGUUUGCCGGGGGUCUGACCUUUCGGGGUUGAUGCGUGUAGUGCUUAUCAGGCACUGUGCGUUCCAGUGGCGUCGAACCUGUUCGCUAGUGCAUUUUCUCAGAGUGUUCACCACGACCGACGCGGCCGUCUGUCUACCGUGGUCAAACCUGGCCUGCUUAGUCCUUGUGGCUUCGCGGGUUGGGGAUGGCAGGUAGCUUGAAAGUGCGUAUCAGCAAUGGUGCGUGCUUUCCUGUGUAAUAGCUGGGCACAGUGGUACUGUACGGUGCGUCGGAGACGGCGGCUUGGUAUAGGUGCGCGUCGCUUUGUUCAGCAUAGCAGCUCUGAGUC
rnacentral:rRNA from 1 species